GACGAACGCUGGCUGCGUGCUUAACACAUGCAAGUCGAACGGUAAGGCCCUUCGGGGUACACGAGUGGCGAACGGGUGAGUAACACGUGGGUGAUCUGCCCUGCACUUCGGGAUAAGCCUGGGAAACUGGGUCUAAUACCGGAUAGGACCACUGCCUGCAUGGGUGGUGGUGGAAAGCUUUUGCGGUGUGGGAUGGGCCCGCGGCCUAUUAGCUUGUUGGUGGGGUGAUGGCCUUCCAAGGCGACGACGGGUAGCCGGACUGAGAGGAUUACCGCCCAGACUGGGACUGAGGUACGGCCCUGACUCCUACGGGAGGCAGAGGUGAGAAAUAUAGAACAAUGGGCGCGAGCCUGAUGCAGCGACGCCGCGUGAGGGAUGACGGCCUUCGGGUUGUAAACCUCUUUCAGCACCGACGAAGCGCAAGUGACGGUAGGUGCAGAAGAAGGACCGGCCAACUACGUGCCAGCAGCCGCCGUAA
rnacentral:rRNA from 1 species